GAAAAAAUAAAAAUAAAAACUGUGACAUCUUGUCCACAACAGACUCAGAACUGUAGAUAACAGUAAAAGAAAACUCUCUGAACUACAGAACUUCCUGCCCAACAAACAGAUGAAAGUACUUUAAUGCAAAAAAUACAAGUCAGUCCAAGAACAACAACAAACAACAUUGUGAAGAGGAAACAAGUACGAAAGUACCUACUAUAUAUAUAACAAAACAUUUUUGGACACAAGAUGAGCAGAAAAUUCCUACUAAAUUCCAAACAAACUCCAAGCCAGUAGUCAUGUUAAUCCCAGCAUCUACAUAGACAUUAAACUACUGUACAAAACACUGCAGACGUAUUUGGAACCAUCAAUCAAACCCAUUCCAAGAAAUGUAAUUUCUACUUCCACCACACUGCAAACAGAAGGCGAUGGAGAGAUUUCUCUCUUUUAUGAAGAAUAUUCUUUAUUUAUCUGAUAUGGUGGAAUUGAGAAGGCCUAUUUAUUGUCUGUCUCCCUCAUCUUCCUGACAGGAUAUUAAAGAUCUAUGUCCUUCUGCCCACCUUGUGAUUAGAUGGAACAUCUGCGGAGGGUAUGAGCCGCCUGAGGGAGAUGAUAGAGAUAUUACCGGGAUUUCUAAUAUUAAGUGAUUUCUUGAUAACUCUGAACUUUCUUUAAUGUCUUCAGUGAUAACAUACAUUCAGUCUCUCAUGGUCACAGAAGAGAGCGAAAAGUAAGUUGCUUGCUUUCAAGUUUGUUUAAUCUCGUUCCUGAAAAUUUACUGAUACCACUUCUAUAAAAGAAAUAAGAGGAA